UAUAAUCACAGCCCAGUAAGGUAUGCUGUCUCCAUUGGACUUUGUUUCCAGUACUGAAUUGUGCAUUUGGCUGUUUCUUGUGGUGAAAAGAUAUGGGUAUUCCUACAGCAGAAAGAAAACAUUUACAAAACCUUUAGAGAGUGGUCUAUUUAUGACAGAUUGCUCUAUUCUGAGGGUAUGAGAGAGUAAACAUUUCUUCUCAAUAGCAAAGCAAUAAAAUGGGGAUGGAACUUCUCCUAUCCAGAGCAGAGGAGUUAUCCCAGGAAUUUAGAAAGCAUGGACAAAGGCUCCUAAAAGCUACUCACUAGGUAAUGUUGUGUGAGUCUCCAAGCUUCCAUCACUUCCAAUGCUUGAAAAAGAAUAAUAAAAAUUGGUUAGUUAAUACCACCUCCAGCACAUACCAUGUGUCAGAGAGAAUAACUGUGGAAAGGAGAGGAUAGAUUUUGAAAAAACAAAUCUCUUCCAAAAUGAACUAUUAGGCAUGUAUGAAUUCUGUUUUUAAAAUUUUCAGAUUAUUUUAAAUAAAAAUAUUUGCCAUAAUUUCUGAAAAAACAAUUUGAAAACAUAUAUAGCUAACCUAAACAGCAAAAUAUAGCCCUGUUUAUUUUUGUGCAUUUGGUGUACCAAGACAUAUCAUGGUACCUAUUUAACAACAGGCAUUAUUUCAUUGUAUUUUUAUUCCAAAUGCCAGCAUAAUAACAAUUGUUCUCUUAAGAAUUGAGUUUGUUUGACAAAAUGAUCAGCAUUCCACAAAGAUGUGCAAGAAAGAAAAUCUGUAGAGGAGAAUUGGUAAUAAUAUUCAUAAUGUAAGCAUUGUUAUACACAUAAGCAUUAGGCAAGCUUCCUAUCAUUGCUUUGUGCCACUCCUAGUAGAGGCUUAAUGACUUAGGAAUUAUCUCAAAUCUUGAUCAGAAGCUAUUUAUUCAGUUUGUGAUAGAAAUGUAAGCCACACUAAAGAUUGCCAGAUGGCAGCACAUUGUUAAAAGAUCCUUUAAUAAGUGGUUGAGAAAGAUCAAACUGCAUGUUUGGGCAUGGAAAUAUGAUGUAGGGUGAACUUUCCCAUAAUGCAGCCUGUUUUCAUUUCUUCUGUAUCUAUAAUUACCUGAACUUUUCAAACAUGAACCUUUAGUUCUAUAUUCUACUACUGUUUUAUCUAACUUGAUACCCUCCAGAUUUUAGGCCUUGAUGUCCUAACACACCUAAGGGGUGCAAUGUUGGAGAAGACUUUUAGUAGAAUGUGAAUGAAAUUUUGGGGAAAAAACAAUUACCUCCAGGAAAGUCCUCUCCAAGCUGUUUUGAUAUCAUUCAAACCAAUUGCUUUAGCGCCUUCAGCAAUCUAUUAAAAAUAGAAAAAAAUAAAAUGCAAUCAACAAGAAUUUAUUAUUUCUUACAGAAUCAAAUAGUUAAAAUCUGGGUAAUGGUUUCUGAUGAGGUCAUACUUUCAAUCUACCAAAAGCAACAUGGAGGAAUAUUCUAAAAAACCUCCAUUUACUAAAGAAAGCAGGAAGAUAUUCACCAUUUGACCUGGAUACAGAAAGAAUCUGAUUUCUGAACUUGACACCACAUAUCGUAGCUCCAACUAUAAUGGCCAAUUAUAAAAUUUCAUUUAAUAAACAUUCAGGAUUAAUAUUCUGCUUUAUGUCAUUUUAUUAAGCUAACAUUCUCAGAUUCUUAGGAAUAACUGCAUUACUGAAAAUGUGGAUAUACCAUAUUUUUGGGUGUGUUAGACAUACU